CGUGUUUAGAGUAGCUUAGUUCAACGGGAGGAGACCGUCCGUCUCUCCCCCGUUCUGACUCCUGUAUGCCUUAACCUGCUGCCUCUGUUCUCGGUGCCUCAGAGCGUCAAUUAAGGUAUCCACAGGUGGGUUAAGGUGCCACCAGCAUGGUUGUCACCAUGAGUAGAGGACUCCGAGUUGCCAGCCCGGGUAAUAUCACCGGGUAAUCAGCACUGGCAACAGGAGCUCGUGCAAUGCACGUCUUGCCUGCUUACAGUCCAG